ACGAACGCUGGCGGCGUGCUUAACACAUGCAAGUCGAGCGGUAAGGCCCUUCGGGGUACACGAGCGGCGAACGGGUGAGUAACACGUGAGUAAUCUGCCCAUCACUUCGGGAUAACUCCGGGAAACCGGUGCUAAUACCGAAUAUGACCACUUCAGGCAUCUGAUGGUGGUGGAAAGUUCCGGCGGUGAUGGAUGAGCUCGCGGCCUAUCAGCUUGUUGGUGGGGUAGUGGCCUACCAAGGCUUCGACGGGUAGCCGGCCUGAGAGGGUGACCGGCCACACUGGGACUGAGACACGGCCCAGACUCCUACGGGAGGCAGCAGUGGGGAAUAUUGGACAAUGGGCGAAAGCCUGAUCCAGCAACGCCGCGUGAGGGAUGACGGCCUUCGGGUUGUAAACCUCUUUCAGCAGGGACGAAGCGCAAGUGACGGUACCUGCAGAAGAAGCACCGGCCAACUACGUG
rnacentral:rRNA from 1 species